CACGAAGGGGGCUAGCGUUGCUCGGAAUUACUGGGCGUAAAGCGCACGUAGGCGGUCUUUUAAGUCGGGGGUGAAAUCCUGGAGCUCAACUCCAGAACUGCCUUCGAUACUGGAAGACUCGAGUCCGGGAGAGGUGAGUGGAACUGCGAGUGUAGAGGUGAAAUUCGUAGAUAUUCGCAAGAACACCAGUGGCGAAGGCGGCUCACUGGCCCGGUACUGACGCUGAGGUGCGAAAGCGUGGGGAGCAAACAGG
rnacentral:rRNA from 1 species